UAUUGACUGCCCUAGCAGACUUUGCCAAGACAAUAGAUUAAUUAAGGAGACUUAAUAAUG
rnacentral:ncRNA from 1 species